ensembl:lncRNA
AGCGGGAGGGGAUGUGAAAACUGAAGCAAGAGGUUGGCAUGAUGAAGGAGGGGGCCAUAAACUAAGGAAGGCAGGAGACCUCUAGAAGCCAAAAAAGGCCAGGAAACUGAUCUAAGCCUCCCAGAAGUCUCCAGAGGGACCUCCCCAGUGGCUCAGUGGAAAAGAAUCUGCAUGCCAAGCAGGAGACACAGGUUCAGUCCCUGGGUCAGGAAGAUCCCCUGGAGAAGGGAAUGGCUACCCACUCCAGUAUUCUUGCCUGAGAAAUCCCAUGGACAGAGGAGCCUUGCAGGCUACAGUCCAUCAGAAGGAACCAGCCUUGCUAAUGCUUUGCUUGUAGACUUUGGACCUCCAGAACUGGAAGAGUAUAAAUAUGUGUUUUUUAAGCCACUAAUUUUGUGGUAAUUUGUUACAGCAGCAAUAGGAAACAAAUAUACCUUCUUUUAUGGAAUCAUAAAGAUUUGAGUUUAAAUUCCAAUUCCCUUGUGGCUCAGCUGGUAAAAAAUCCGCAUGCAAUGAAGAAGACCUGGGUUUGAUCCCUGGGUUGGGAAGAUUCCCUGGAGAAGGGAAUGGCUACCCACUCCAGUAUUCUGGCCUGGAGAUUUCCAUAGGGUCGCAAAGAGUCAGACAUGACUGAGCGACUUUCACUUUCAAAAAUAAUUUUCCCAGUAAUUUAUUUUGUCUUAUAUUCUCUAUCUUCUCAAACAUUGAAAUCAUAAACUAGCUUCAUGAAGUUGUUAUGAGAAUAAAAAGAUUAACCUAAUUUGAUAUGCGGAACAUAGUAGAUUCUCAAUAAAAAGUUAACAAAGUAUAGCUCAAAACCGAGUCUUGGUGUGAACUUGAGUCAAGGCUGUCAGCCCCUUCCUGGAUUCCUCACAACUGGAUCUAUUGAAGGGAAUGGCUACCCACUCCAGUAUUCUUGCCUGGGACAUCCCAUGGAUGGAGGAGCCUGGCGGGCUACAGUCCAUAGGGUUGCAAAGAGUCAGACACAACUGUGCAUCUGAGUACAAACACAUGCAAAGUCCAGCCUAUUUGUUUCUGAAAGGCCAGAAGCAAUAGUCUCUUUUCCAGGGGAUUUGUUCUUGACCUACUGUCUCAAAUAUUAAGAAGAGAUGGCAAGAAUACACAGAAGAACUGUACAAAAAAGAUCUUCACAACCCAGAUAAUCAGGAUGGUGUGAUCACUCACCUAGAGCCAGACAUCCUGGAAUGUGAAGUCAAGUGGGCCUUAGAAAGCAUCACUAUGAACAAAGCUAGUGGAGGUGAUGGAAUUCCAGUUGAGCUAUUUCAAAUCCUGAAAGAUGAUGCUGUGAAAGUGCUGUACUCAAUAUGCCAGCAAAUUUGGAAAACUCAGCAGUGGCCACAGGACUGGAAAAGGUCAGUUUUCAUUCCAGUCCCAAAGAAAGGCAAUGCCAAAGAAUGCUCAAACUACCACACAAUUGCACUCAUCUUACAUGCUAUUAAAGUAAUGCUCAAAAUUCUCCAAGUCAGGCUUCAGCAAUACGUGAACCGUGAACUUCCUGAUGUUCAAGCUGGUUUUAGAAAAGGCAGAGGAACCAGAGAUCAAAUUGCCUGGCCUGCUGCGAUUCAUGGGGUUGCAAAGAGUCAGACACGACUGAGCGACUGAUCUGAUCUGAUACUGUCUUAGGCUCUGAGUCCUGUGACCCAGACCCACCUUUUUGGUCUUAGGUCUCCUUUCCAGGUCUCUAGCCAAAAAUUAUCUAGGCCUUAAAUCUGCUGAGGAAGAUUCUGAUGCUUGAGAAGCUCUGAAGUUCUAGCCGAACCUGCCUACUGUGUUGGUUUCAUCCUAGAAUGGGAUAUCUGCCUCUUCAAACUUAGGAGGAAGAAGCCUUAAUUCUCUUUGCUUCCCUUGCUGAGGACUCCAGUUCUAGGACCAGAAGACACACCCUCAACCCAACUA